CUACAUUAAUUGCAUUAAUAUAUCUUAAUUUAACCGUGUAAACUACCUGGUGCGUUGAAUUGUAUAUAUAUAUAUAUAUAUACAAUUAUAUAUACAGUAUCCGUUUUUUCCUUUAUCAAUACUGUAUUAUGAUACUAAAUAGUAGUGAGGCUGGCUUAUAGCGUGGUCUAUAAUAGUAUUGAAGCAUAAUUCACAGUAAAUAAUGGUCGAUUGUUACAUAUGCAAUGUUUACAGACAUCAUAACUCGUAUUAAUUGUGUCAUCUUCCUGCUUAAAACUGGAUUAUACCGCCCACGUGUUGCGCGCAGACACGUCAGCCUGUAGUUUAACGCCAAAACGUUGCUCUGCGGUGCGACCAACCUAAAAACUAACACUUAAAGUAUAUAAUGAAAGGUCAUGUUUUAGUAUUGUGGGUUAUUUUUAUUUUUGGACACACCAGCGCUGCCUUUUGAGUUAACGCAGCGCGGGUUACAGUAGCGUGCUCGUGUCCGUAGGGGGCGUAAGCGCAACACGGUUGACACUCGCUGCUGUCAAUCAAUGGAAAGAUCUGGAACCACGUUGAACACACUCUAGUGAGGGGUAAAAGUUACAGAAUAAAGAAUAAAUAAAUAUAUAAUUAUGCUUUAACUCUACUACAGACCCUGAAUGAAGAGCUGUUUCUUUCUGUGUGGAAACCACCAUGAUAUUUUACCAUCAGGUGAGUGUUUACUUUGUCAGCAAUAUUUUUAAGCAUAUGGUGAGUCUCGGCUGAAGGACUAAUUAUGUUACACCUUAAAAUAAGUUGAAUGAUACGUUGAAUUUAGUGGGGUUUUUUUCUAAAUUAAAUCCUAAAGUCAUUUCAAGGUGAUGAGAGAAGUUAAAUAAUAGCUAAUAUUAAGUUAAUAUGGUAUCUAGACAAAGACAUUUAUAACAGUUGACUGUGUUUAUUUUAAAUUUUAUGUAAUUUUUCACUUUUUUAAUUAACAUUUUAGACUGAAAAGUUGGGGUCAGUGCAUUUUUUAAAUUAAUAAUUCAGCAAGGAUUUAUUAAACUGAUUAAAAAGAGUGAGUUAAUGAUGCUGAAAAUUCAGCAUUGCAUCAUAGAAAUAAAUUACAUUUUAAAAUAUAUUCACAUAGAAAAUAGUUAUUUUAAAUUGUAAUUUAUAUUACUGUAUUUUUAAAUAAAAAAUGCAGCAUUGGUGAGCAUAAGACUUCUUUUAAAACAUGAAAAAUCUUACUGACCCCCAUUGUUAGCUAUAGUUGAGGUCUAAAGUUUACAUACACCUUGCAGAAUCUGUAAUUAUUUUACCAAAAUAAGAGGGAUCAUACAAAAUGCAUGUCAUUUUUUAUUUAGUACUGACCUGAAUAAGAUAUUUUACAUAAAAGAUGUUUACAUAUAGUUCACAAGAGAAAAUAAUAGUUGAAUUGACAAAUUCCCACAAAUUCUUUGUUUUUUCAGCAUUUUUGUAUAUUUGAAUCCUUUCCAACAAUGACUAUGAUUCUGAGAUUCAACUUUUCACACUGAGGACAACUGAGGGACUCAUAUGCAACUAUUACAGAAGGUUCAAACGCUUUUAGAUGCUUCAGAUGGAAAAACGAUGCAUUAAGAGCCGGGGGUGAAAACUUUUGGAAUUUUAAGAUCAGGGAAAAUUUUCCUUUUUUAAGUAUAAUAUUUGUAUAAUUUCAACUAUUAUUUUCUCUUGUGGACUAGGUAAACAUCUUUUAUAAAUAAAAAAUAACAUGCAUUUUGCAUGAUCUCUCUUAUUCUGGUAAAAAUUAACAUUUUGUAGAUUCUUCAAGGUAUGUAAACUUUUGAUCUUAACUGUAUGUAUACAAUUUUUAAAAAGUAUCCUACUUAAUCUCUCAAUUAAAAUCAUAAAACUGCAUAAUAAUUAUAUACAAAUCAGAAAAAUAUGUUUUUGGUUAGGUCUAGCCUGUCACUUCAGCUACCCAUCAUGUGUGCAGUCUUGUGUAAUUGUGUGUGUGUGUAGUUUGUGUGUUUUGCCCCAUGAGACGUAACUCUGGCACUGAUGCCAGUGUUGUGCUAAAAGUGGGCAGAAAGAAACUGGCUUGCGAUCGACCCUGCUGUCCUGUAUGGUGGACCGGGGGCUUGGAACGAGGCCGGAUAACCCAACCCAGACUUCUGUGUGUGUUAGUGCCCGUCUCAGUCUGUGAAACCCCUUUCCAAAGACUCCAUUAUCCCCCAUUAAUGUUUCUUUGUAUUCGAUUAUUAUAGAUUCUAACAUGUUUUUGUAACUGUGUGACUCAUGAACUCAAAACACCAAAAGGAAUGGAUGAAAUGGAGCUGCACUUCGUGGGUUGUGACCUAGAGUCUUAAAACAGUACGACUGUGAACAGAGGUCAAAGAUCGACUCUACAGCAAGCUGGAGUAAAUUGUGACAAACCAUUUGGAACAAGUCAGCUGGAUUUACAUCAGCUGUGUGUUACAAACCCGUGUCUGCGGUUGUUGAUCUCCACCUACUUUUUGGACCUAGAUGGAAGAGAACAUCCAAACAAGAUCAUCUGAUCAUCACCCAAAUUAGUGCAUGACACUUUAUUCUUUGUUUUUUAACAAGCCACAAACUGUACAAUCGUGUCACUCAAAUCAAUAUGUUUUUGAAGGACAGCUCAACUAGUCAGUCUUUUAAUUUAUAAAUUAAGCUAUGCUGUAAUGCAAUGUUUAAUUAUAGCAUAUUUUUAUGAAACAUGAUUAUUUUUGUUUAUUAGUACCAUUAAAACAUUAAAUAACAGCUUGUUUUACGUUUGUCCAGCAUGUGAAUUUACAUGUUUUGGUCCUGUAAGUAAUGUGUCCUUUUAAAGGUGAGGUAGUUUUGGGACGCCUCCCUGGACUAAUAUAUGCUGAUUCCUUGUUUCUUUCUAAAGGUCGGGUAAAAGGAUACCUGCUGUUGUGUUUGUCCUUUGAACAAGUGCUGUACUUUGUGUACUUGUGCUUCACGCAAGACACAUACACAGUUUAGGUUUCAAACAUUUACUCAUCAAUGAAUAAUAGCUGAACAAAUUGAUGGAGGUAAAAUAAAUUAGUAUUUUGUGCUGCUCUCCUUACAGAAGCACGAAAUAAAAUAAUGAACAUGACUUAAUAGUACAUAAAACCACUUUGUUCAUAACGUGAAAUUGUACUAAAGCCUAGUGCACACUAGAAGACAGAAA